UAAGGAAUAUUGCUCAAUGGGAGAAAUCCUGAAGCAGCAACGCCGCGUGGAGGAUGAAGGGUCUAUGACUUGUAAACUCCUGUAAAGAAGGAAAAAAUUCCCAUUAGAUGGGAGAUGAUGGUACUUCUGGAGUAAGCCCCGGCUAACUACGUGCCAGCAGCCGCGGUAAUACGUAGGGGGCAAGCGUUGUCCGGAUUUACUGGGUGUAAAGGGUGCUCAGGCGGAUUUGUAAGUCAGAGGUGAAAUCUUACAGCUUAACUGUGAAACUGCCUUUGAUACUGCAAGACUAGAGUAUGGAAGAGAGCGAUGGAAUAUCAGGUGUAGCAGUGAAAUGCGUAGAUAUCAGAUAGAACACCAAUGGCGAAGGCAGUCACUUGGUCCAUUACUGACGCUAAAGCACGAAAGCGUGGGUAGCAAACA
rnacentral:rRNA from 1 species